AUUGAACGCUGGCGGCAUGCCUUACACAUGCAAGUCGAACGGCAGCGGGGGAGAAGCUUGCUUUACCUGCCGGCGAGUGGCGAACGGGUGAGUAAUACAUCGGAACGUGCCCUGUAGUGGGGGAUAACUAGUCGAAAGAUUAGCUAAUACAGCAUACGGCCUGAGGGUGACAGUGGGGGGCCGCCAGGCCUCAUACUAAAGGAGCGGCCGAUGUCUGAUUAGCUAGUUGGUGGGGUAAAGGCCUACCAAGGCGACGAUCAGUAGCUGGUCUGAGAGGACGAUCAGCCACACUGGGACUGAGACACGGCCCAGACUCCUACGGGAGGCAGCAGUGGGGAAUUUUGGACAAUGGGCGAAAGCCUGAUCCAGCAAUGCCGCGUGUGUGAAGAAGGCCUUCGGGUUGUAAAGCACUUUUGUCCGGAAAGAAAUGGCUCUGGUUAAUACCUGGGGUCGAUGACGGUACCGGAAGAAUAAGGACCGGCUAACUACGUGCCAGCAGCCGCGGUAA
rnacentral:rRNA from 1 species